UCGCCACAGGGUGGCACUGCUGCGCAGACACGGUUGGCAUAGCCGCCCGUUCCGGUUGAAUUCUAGCGGCGGGCAGAUUAAACCACCCAGGUUGGCGAAAACGGGUUAAAAAAAAAAAAAAAAAUUGUUCCAUAUCUUGGAAAAGAACAAGAAGUUAAUGAAAAAACCGAGAACUGCAACAAUACUACUGAGGAGGCUGGUGGACGCACAUAUUUUGAGGACAACUCGGGAGUGGAAGAAAGUUAGCUACACAGUGUCCGCCAUUCUGAAGUGUGUGUUGAUGCUAGCUGACUGAGCUACGCUAACCAAUCUGAAGUGACAGCAGCCUCUAGAGAAACGUCAGCUCACCUGUGCACACCUGUAAGCGACACAGUGAGUGCUCCUUUUCCAAACUGGGAUGCAUGGCCUAAAAGAAUGAACUAACACCGAGACGUAUUGGUACUUUUAUUAUAUCGAGAAAGGAUUAAAUCUGCUCGGUGCCCUGGGAUUUUGCACUAUGGUGAAGGCUCUGCACAGAGGGAGGCCAAAGAAUAAGCGCCUGCUUUAAGGUGUUGUCCAAGGAGCUGGAUUUGGGGCAGCAAGGGAGGGUGAGCUUUGGAGUCACUGCCAUCACAGCCAGGUGCCAUAUAUAACAUGAGCCAGUGAGGAGACGCGGCGGCGUGCGUCGCUCGAGCCCAACUCCGGGGCGGGGCCCCGGUACGGGGGAACCUCUGAAAGGCACACACACACAGGAGUGGACAAGGCGGGUGUAUGUUAGAAAAUAGUGGUCUCGUACUUGGUGUUGACUCCUCUCUUGGCCUCCUGACCCGGCUCCACAAUCCAUGGUACGUUGGCGUGGCCCUUCUGGUCCAUGGACGGCUGCUCCAUCUGACAUAGGAAGAGAUGGAGGAGGAGGGGAAAGUCGAAACAAAAGAAAGAAAACAAGAAGCAGAGAGAGAAGUGGGGCAAAGAGACAGAUUAAUUUCAGCUGCUUAUUCAUAUUUUGAAAAAACUUAUUGUAUUGGUUUUGUACCAAACAGUUCAUCAUGACAUAUUUUGAAUGCCAACGACUGUUUCCUGGUUUUGAAAAUCAACAUUUUGCACACUUUAGGGGCAAUUUUCAUACACAAUUUCAUGUUAAUAAAGUCAGUGAAAACUGAGUGAU